AUAUGCCUACAACAUAGCGUUAAUGCACCAUAUCCCAUUAGAAAUCUGCAGUUAAACGUGCUUAGGCUAGACAAGUACUGGGAUGGGUGACCACCAAGUAAGUCCUAGUGUUUUACAUGCC
rnacentral:rRNA from 1 species